rnacentral:rRNA from 1 species
AAUCAACGCUGGCGGCGUGCCUCAGACAUGCAAGUCGAACGCGAAAGUUCCCUUCGGGGGGCGAGUAGAGUGGCGCACGGGUGAGUAACACGUAGGUAAUCUACCUUUGGGUGGGGAAUAACAGCCGGAAACGGCUGCUAAUACCGCAUAAUGCAGCGGCUCGACAUCGAGACAGUUGUUAAAGCGGGGGAUCGCAAGACCUCGCGCCUAAAGAGGAGCCUGCGGCGGAUUAGCUUGUUGGUGAGGUAAUGGCUCACCAAGGCAUCGAUCCGUAGCCGGCCUGAGAGGGCGGUCGGCCACACUGACACUGACAUACGGGUCAGACUCCUACGGGAGGCAGCAGUCGGGAAUUUUGGGCAAUGGGCGCAAGCCUGACCCAGCAACGCCGCGUGAAGGAUGAAA